CAGCACCUCAAGUGGUCAGGAUGAUUAUUGGGCCUAAAGCAUCCGUAGCCGGCGCUGUAAGUUUUCGGUUAAAUCUGUACGCUCAACGUACAGGCUGCCGGGAAUACUGCAGCGCUAGGGAGUGGGAGAGGUAGACGGUACUCGGUAGGAAGGGGUAAAAUCCUUUGAUCUAUUGAUGACCACCUGUGGCGAAGGCGGUCUACCAGCACACGUCCGACGGUGAGGGAUGAAAGCUGGGGGAGCAAACCGGAUUAGAUACCCGAGUAGUCC
rnacentral:rRNA from 1 species